rfam:Citrus clementina cultivar Clemenules unplaced genomic scaffold scaffold_1, whole genome shotgun sequence.
UGCGAUGAUGAUGAGUGAAAUUAAUCUCGUUAAUCUGAGAUAAACAUAAGGAAAAAUUCUCUAAUCCAUUGUUAAUUAUCCUGAGC